rnacentral:rRNA from 1 species
UAAUACGUAGGGUCCGAGCGUUGUCCGGAGUUACUGGGCGUAAAGCGCGCGCAGGCGGCUGAUCAAGUCUGGCGUGAAAGCCCCCGGCUCAACCGGGGAGGGUCGUCGGAGACUGGUUGGCUUGAGGGCGGUAGGGGCUGGUGGAAUUCCCGGUGUAGUGGUGAAAUGCGUAGAGAUCGGGAGGAACACCUGUGGCGAAGGCGGCCAGCUGGGCCGUCCCUGACGCUGAGGCGCGAAGGCGUGGGGAGCGAACGGG